rnacentral:rRNA from 1 species
UACGUAGGUGACUAGCGUUGUCCGGAAUCAUUGGGCGUAAAGCGCGUGUAGGCGGCCCGGUAAGUCCGCUGUGAAAGUCCAGGGCUCAACCCUGGGAUGCCGGUGGAUACUGUCGGGCUCGAGUCCGGAAGAGGCGAGUGGAAUUCCUGGUGUAGCGGUGAAAUGCGCAGAUAUCAGGAGGAACACCAAUUGCGAAGGCAGCUCGCUGGGACGUUACUGACGCUGAGACGCGAAAGCGUGGGGAGCAAACAGG